GGGGUUCAUGUUGUCGACCUUCACGUGGUGAGCCCUGUCAACUGACUGCUGUCAGGCUAACAGACAA
rnacentral:ribozyme from 1 species